UCCUGAUAAACAUCACCUACCUGGUUC
rnacentral:piRNA from 1 species